GCCGGUGUAGCUCAGUGGUAGAGCUUCCGACUUGUAAUCGGAAGGUCAAGGGUUCAAGUCCCUUCACCGGCU
rnacentral:tRNA from 1 species